CCUACGGGCGGCAGCAGUGAGGAAUAUUGGUCAAUGGCCGGAAGGCUGAACCAGCCAAGCCGCGUGAAGGACGAAGGUGCCAAGCAUUGUAAACUUCUUUUGUCAAGGGACAAAAUCAGGCUCGAGCGCCUGACCGAGGGUACUUUAAGAACAAGCAUCGGCUAACUCCGUCCCAGCAGCCGCGGUAAUACGGAGGAUGCGAGCGUUAUCCGGAUUUAUUGGGGUAAAAGGGUGCGUAGGCGGACUGUUAAGUCAGCGGUAAAAGCCCGGGGCUAAACCCCGGCGAGCCGUUGAAACUGGCGGUCUGGAGAGGUCGAGAGGUAGGCGGAAUGCGCAGUGUAGCGGUGAAAUGCGUAGAUAUUGCGCAGAACUCCGAUUGCGAAGGCAGCAUACCGGCGGGGAUCUGACGCUGAGGCACGAAAGCGUGGGUAUCGAACAGGAUUAGAUACCCCUGUAGUC
rnacentral:rRNA from 1 species